rnacentral:lncRNA from 1 species
AGUCCAUCCAUCCAGCUUGGCUCGAGCUCGGUGCAGAGGGUCUGCUCGGGCUCGUCUAUGCUGGGCUUUUGGAGGUAUUCCAGGACUGCCUCUUUGGGAAGCUCGCUCAUGCGAGAGGACGCCAGCUUUGAUAGCUGGUCGGCCCUGAGAUUCUCCGACCUGGCAAUAUGUUGAAUGUGGAAAGAGUCCAAGGUCGAGGCGAGAUCCCGUACCUUCUGGAGAUACUUCUGCAUGGUCGGGUCUCUGGCUUCGAAGUCGCCCACAAUUUGGUUGACGACGAG